rnacentral:misc_RNA from 1 species
UGUAAUCGUGAUGAAUAAUAUGCCUAAUUAUCUUCUUUUACGUGUCCCUGUAAUGUAAUUUCUGGAUUUUCUUUUGUUGUUAAUUAGGUGUAAUUGAAAUUGGAUGAAAAAAAAUAAGGUGUUUGUUCCGUAGUUAUUGGGUUUACUUUUGUUUGAAGUUAUCUGUUGAAUAUAUUUGGACUUACAAGGCAAUGCAAUUGAAAUCUUAUUACUGUUGUGACAAAUAAUAAUAGGCGUUCAUUUACGUUUGUUUCGACUAACUGGUUGGCUAUCUUGGUGAUCAGGGUGAAUUUGAAUUGUAUGUUGGUGGCUCAUCAA